UGGGGAAUAUUGGACAAUGGGCGAAAGCCUGAUCCAGCCAUGCCGCGUGUGUGAAGAAGGUCUUCGGAUUGUAAAGCACUUUAAGUUGGGAGGAAGGGCAUUAACCUAAUACGUUAGUGUUUUGACGUUACCGACAGAAUAAGCACCGGCUAACUCUGUGCCAGCAGCCGCGGUAAUACAGAGGGUGCAAGCGUUAAUGGGAAUUACUGGGCGUAAAGCGCGCGUAGGUGGUUUGUUAAGUUGGAUGUGAAAUCCCCGGGCUCAACCUGGGAACUGCAUUCAAAACUGACUGACUAGAGUAUGGUAGAGGGUGGUGGAAUUUCCUGUGUAGCGGUGAAAUGCGUAGAUAUAGGAAGGAACACCAGUGGCGAAGGCGACCACCUGGACUAAUACUGACACUGAGGUGCGAAAGCGUGGGGAGCGAACA
rnacentral:rRNA from 1 species